UCAAAUAUCAACACUCAAAACAUAUAUGCAUGUUCAAAUCAAAAGGUCUUUUAUGGAUGUAAUGGGGCCAAGGAACAGGGAGGAUAUAUAGGUAAGAAGCUACAAACCAAAAGAAAUAGAGGAGCAAUGGGGAACAAGUGUAAACACAGUCAAAUAACAUCCAAACCCUCUAAUUCAAUCCUCUUCUUGACUCCAUCAUCCACACAAUUUUUUUUUAUUUUCUCAUUUUUCUGUAUUUUUUUUUCUUUUUUUUCAUCUUGUCUCUUUUCUUUU
rnacentral:lncRNA from 1 species